GAUGAAGAACGUAGCGAAAUGCGAUAACUAAUGUGAAUUGCAGAAUUCAGUGAAUCAUCGAAUCUUUGAACGCACAUUGCGCCCGCUAGUAUUCUGGCGGGCAUGCCUGUCCGAGCGUCAUUUCAACCCUCAAGCCCCCGGGCUUGGUGUUGGGGAUCGGCGAGCCUCCGCGCCCGCCGUCCCCUAAAUCUAGUGGCGGUCUCGCUGUAGCUUCCUCUGCGUAGUAGCACACCUCGCACUGGGAAACAGCGCGGCCACGCCGUUAAACCCCCAACUUCUGAACGUUUGACCUCGGAUCAGGUAGGAAUACCCGCUGAACUUAAGCAUAUCAAUAAGCGGAGGA
rnacentral:misc_RNA from 1 species